rnacentral:rRNA from 1 species
GACGAACGCUGGCGGCGUGCUUAACACAUGCCAGUCGAACGGAAAGGCCCUGCUUUUGUGGGGUGCUCGAGUGGCGAACGGGUGAGUAACACGUGAGUAACCUGCCCUAGACUUUGGGAUAACUUCAGGAAACUGGGGCUAAUACCGGAUAGGAGCUCCUGCUGCAUGGUGGGGGUUGGAAAGUUUCGGCGGUUGGGGAUGGACUCGCGGCUUAUCAGCUUGUUGGUGGGGUAGUGGCUUACCAAGGCUUUGACGGGUAGCCGGCCUGAGAGGGUGACCGGCCACAUUGGGACUGAGAUACGGCCCAGACGCCUACGGGAGGCAGCAGUGGGGAAUAUUGCACAAUGGGCGGAAGCCUGAUGCAGCAACGCCGCGUGCGGGAUGACGGCCUUCGGGUUGUAAACCGCUUUCGCCUGUGACGAAGCGUGAGUGACGGUAAUGGGUAAAGAAGCACCGGCUAACUACGUG